CCUUGCAACAUUGAGACUACCGUCCCGGAAAGAGAACCUGGGUUCCCUUCAAGGCCACAGACCCUCAAAUGUGUGAUGUUGUGCGUCUGAAAGUGUGUGACGAGGUCGCCCGGAUCCUCUGCAAACCAAACGGACACACUGCUGUAAAGAAGCACAAGAAAAUACUGCAAAGAUGCUUCCUUCCAGCAGAGCCGGGUGACAUGACUGAUUAUCAUCAAGGGAAGCCCAACCUCUGGCGUAGCAGUAGGCAGCUCUUUGGAUGGUAGCAUCUGUCACCACUAGUUUCUACAAUCUAAA